rnacentral:rRNA from 1 species
CCUACGGGAGGCUGCAGUGAGGAAUAUUGGUCAAUGGGCGCGAGCCUGAACCAGCCAAGUAGCGUGAAGGCUGACUGCCCUACGGGUUGUAAACUUCUUUUAUAAAGGAAUAAAGUGAGGCACGUGUGCCUUUUUGCAUGUACUUUAUGAAUAAGGAUAGGCUAACUCCGUGCCAGCAGCCGCGGUAAUACGGAGGCUCCUCGCGUUAUCCGGAUUUAUUGGUUUUAAAGGGAGCGUCGAUGGGUUGUUAAGUCAGUUGUGAAAGUUUGCGGCUCAACCGUAAAAUUGCAAUUGAUACUGGCAGUCUUGAGUACAGUUGAGGUAGGCGGAAUUCGUGGUGUAGCGGUGAAAUGCUUAGAUAUCACGAAGAACCCCGAUUGCGAAGGCAGCUUACUAAACUGUGACUGACAUUGAUGCUCGAAAGUGUGGGUAUCAAACAGGAUUAGAUACCCUUGUAGUC